rnacentral:rRNA from 1 species
UGGAGCCUGCGGUUUAAUCGGACUCAACGCCGGGAAACUCACCAGAUAAGACAGCUGAAUGAUAGUCGGGCUGAAGACUCUACUUGACUAGCUGAGAGGAGGUGCAUGGCCGUCGUCAGUUCGUACUGUGAAGCAUCCUGUUAAGUCAGGCAACGAGCGAGACCCACGCCAACAGUUGCCAGCUCGUCCUCCGGGAUGGCGGGGACACUGUUGGGACCGCCUCUGCUAAAGAGGAGGAAGGAAUGGGCAACGGUAGGUCAGCAUGCCCCGAAUUAUCUGGGCUACACGCGGGCUACAAUGGGUGGGACAAUGGGUAUCGACACCGAAAGGUGAAGGCAAUCUCCUAAACCCAUCCGUAGUUCGGAUUGUGGGCUGCAACUCGCCCACAUGAAGCUGGAAUCUGUAGUAAUCGUGUCUCAAAAUGGCACGGUGAAUAUGUCCCUGCUCCUU